rnacentral:rRNA from 1 species
CGGCGGAACGGGUCGAGUAACGCCUGGGAAAUCUGGCUUCCGGAGGGGGAUAACUACGGGAAACUCGUAGCUAAUACCGCGUAGAAUCGGAAAAAGAAAGUCGCGGGACCGCAAGGCCGCACGCCAUGAGAUGAGCCCAAGUGGGAAUAGGUAGUUCGGUGGGGUAAAGGCCUACCAAGCCUGCGAUUCUCUAGCUGGUCUGAGAGGAUGACCAGCCACACUGGAACUGAGACACGGUCCAGACUCCUACGGGAGGCAGCAGUGGGGAAUAUUGCGCAAUGGGGGCAACCCUGACGCAGCCAUGCCGCGUGAAUGAAGAAGGCCUUCGGGUUUGUAAAGUUCUUUCGGUAUUUGAGGAAGGUUGAUGUGUUAAUAGUACAUCAAAUUUGACGUUAAAUACAGAAGAAGGCACCGGCUAACUCCCGUGCCCAGCAGCCGCGGGUAAUACGGAGGGUGCGAGCGUUAAUCGGAAUAACUGGGCGUAAAGGGCACGCAGGCGGUUAUUUAAGUGAGGUGUGAAAGCCCCGGGCUUAACCUGGGAAUUGCAUUUCAGACUGGGUAACUAGAGUACUUUAGGGAGGGGUAGAAUUCCACGUGUAGCGGUGAAAUGCGUAGAGAUGUGGAGGAAUACCGAAGGCGAAGGCAGCCCCUUGGGAAUGUACUGACGCUCAUGUGCGAAAGCGUGGGGAGCAAACAGGAUUAGAUACCCUGGUAGUCCACGCUGUAAACGCUGUCGAUUUGGGGAUUGGGCUUAAAGCUUGGUGCCCGUAGCUAACGUGAUAAAUCGACCGCCUGGGGAGUACGGCCGCAAGGUUAAAACUCAAAUGAAUUGACGGGGGCCCGCACAAGCGGUGGAGCAUGUGGUUUAAUUCGAUGCAACGCGAAGAACCUUACCUACUCUUGACAUCCAUGGAAUCCUGUAGAGAUACGGGAGUGCCUUCGGGAACCAUGAGACAGGUGCUGCAUGGCUGUCGUCAGCUCGUGUUGUGAAAUGUUGGGUUAAGUCCCGCAACGAGCGCAACCCUUAUCCUUUGUUGCCAGCGAUUUGGUCGGGAACUCAAAGGAGACUGCCAGUGAUAAACUGGAGGAAGGUGGGGAUGACGUCAAGUCAUCAUGGCCCUUACGAGUAGGGCUACACACGUGCUACAAUGGCGUAUACAGAGGGUGGCGAAACUGCGAGGUGGAGCGAAUCUCAGAAAGUACGUCUAAGUCCGGAUUGGAGUCUGCAACUCGACUCCAUGAAAGUCGGAAUCGCUAGUAAUCGCGAAAUCAGAAAUGCCGCGGUGAAAUACGUUCCCGGGCCUUGUACACACCGCCCGUCA